CCCGUGAUAUCGUGGGUCCGUGACUGAAUUAAAGUAUAUAACUAUGCGUAUGCCUUAUUUUAGUAUUGGUAUUGUCAUCUAUUAUAAAAUGCACAGUUUUCUCUGCUUUCAAAAUCUUUCUGUUUGAACCCGUCGACCUGGAACCCAUCAAUUAUUGGUAAUAUUGAUAAUUUGGAAAACAAAAGAGCCUUGAUUGGAGUAUUUAUUACUCAACAGUAUUAAAGAAAAUUCUAAAUACACCGUUUGGUGGUGCGCCUGUCAGAUGCGGAACGUACAGAUAAGGUAGUAGGUAACAGGUGAAUAUACUAUUGGUAUCGGUGUCGGACUCGACCCGGAACUUCUUAAAUAUUGGCAAUAUUAAUUACGUUCAAAACAAAUGGGCCUGGAGUGGUGUAAUUUUUAAUCAACACCAUUGUACUAUAUUAGUUAUAUAUAAAGUUGAAUUCUUUGAUUCAUCGUUUUUACGUGAUGACGGCUGACAAAUUGGACCUCGUAAUUUUAGUAUUAUAGAU
rnacentral:lncRNA from 1 species